rnacentral:rRNA from 1 species
CCUACGGGAGGCUGCAGUGGGGAAUAUUGCACAAUGGGCGCAAGCCUGAUGCAGCCAUGCCGCGUGUGUGAAGAAGGCCUUCGGGUUGUAAAGCACUUUCAGCGGGGAGGAAGGCGGUGAGGUUAAUAACCUCAUCGAUUGACGUUACCCGCAGAAGAAGCACCGGCUAACUCCGUGCCAGCAGCCGCGGUAAUACGGAGGGUGCAAGCGUUAAUCGGAAUUACUGGGCGUAAAGCGCACGCAGGCGGUCUGUCAAGUCGGAUGUGAAAUCCCCGGGCUCAACCUGGGAACUGCACUCGAAACUGGCAGGCUAGAGUCUUGUAGAGGGGGGUAGAAUUCCAGGUGUAGCGGUGAAAUGCGUAGAGAUCUGGAGGAAUACCGGUGGCGAAGGCGGCCCCCUGGACAAAGACUGACGCUCAGGUGCGAAAGCGUGGGGAGCAAACAGGAUUAGAUACCCCUGUAGUC